UAUCUUUUAGUUGUGUUUAAGCCUGGUGAUAACUAGUUGUCCAAGACAGAAUCUUAGUUCAACUUUAAAUUUACCCACAGAAUUAUUUAAUCCCCUGGAAGUUUAACUGUUAGUC